UACGGAGGGUGCGAGCGUUGUCCGGAAUCAUUGGGCGUAAAGGGCGCGUAGGUGGCCCGGUCAGUCUUUGGUGAAAGCGCGGGGCUCAACCCUGCGUCGGCCAGGGAUACUGCCGCGGCUCGAGCACUGUAGAGGCAGGCGGAAUUCCGGGUGUAGUGGUGGAAUGCGUAGAGCUCCGGAGGAACACCAGUGGCGAAGGCGGCCGCCUGGGCCCGUCCUGACGCUGAGACGCGAAAGCGUGGGGAGCGAUCCGG
rnacentral:rRNA from 1 species